ACCCAGAACACAGGCAGAUAGCCAUGCGCUUGAGAGGGUGGGGAGUCUCCCAAUUGCAAGGCCUGGAAAACCUGCAGCUGCCUCUGGCCGCUAUGGGGAGGAGUGAGUCAGGGUCCUCUUUAACAUCCCAGCCCACGAGCUGCAUGCCCAGCACCAAGCCCCAGUGGCCACUGUGCCUCCGCCUCUUCCUGAGCUAUUUUAAUCCCACCUUCACCAAUCAAGAAACUCGCUGUGUCAUUCUGCAACUGAGUGAGAACCAGGGUUCAAAUCGAGUCUGUCUGUACCUCCGUCGGCCAGUCGGAGGAGGAAACAGAGUUCUCAUUCUUCUUCUGGGAUCACAAUCAACAGAGGCAGAGACAGGAAGACCCAGAGGCUGAAGAUGGAAUCAUGGGAACUGCUGUAGCCUCACCCACUCGAAACGAAACUUCUGACCCUGAGUCACAGCAAUGAGCAAAGACCAGAGAGCAAAGGACCUGGGCCAGUUAGUUUAACACUGAAUAUAAGCCUAACUCUUGGGUUGCACUGUGAGCACAGGAAUCCUAGUCUGGGGAGAUCUCCAUAAAUAUUAGAGUUACUAAUUACUGAUAAUUUGCAAAAAAUAAAUAAAUAAAUAAAGCAAAGAAAAUGGGGAAAAAAAUGAAUGUGACUUGGACUGAGAUGGCCUUUAAUCACUAUUGUUUUUUCCAUUAUACAAAGCUAGGAAGUUGAAGCGUUAAGACUUCAAAUACAAAACCUCUUUUGGAAGAAAGAGCUAAGCAUUAAAUUACGCGUAAAGAUUCAAAAUCAAUUGUUCAUUUUAGGGCUACCCAGUCAAUAAUAACAUACUUCAAAGUUCACUGGGGAUAUCUCAACUACGUAAUUAAAAAAUGCCAUAAAGCACCUGGAAGGAAAUAUGCCCAAAUGUUAAUUUUACCUCCAAUUAGGAGGAUUAUGGAUGAUUCUUUCCUUAUACUUUCCAAAUAUUCUACAGUGUGAAAGCAAUUCUUUGACACUGAAAAAGAAAUUUAUAAAAAUGAAAAAUAAGAAUCAUAAUAAUCCACAGGGCACGGUGGCACAUGCCUGUAAUCCCAGCAGCUCGGGUCACUGAGGCAGGAGGAUCAUGAGUUCAAAGCCAGCCUCAGCAAAAACCAGUAACCAAGCAACUCAGUGAGACCUGUCUUGAAAUAAAAUACAAAAAUAGGGCUGGGGAUGUGGCUCAGUGGCUGAGUACCCCUGAGUUUAAUCCCUGGUACCAAAGAAAAGAAAAGAAAAGGAAGGAAGGAAGGAAGGAAAGAAAGAAAGAAAGAAAAGAAUGGAAGAAUAAUCCACUAGGCAUGAUAACAUACCCCUAUAAUCCCAGCAACUCAGGAGGCUGAGGAAGGAGGAUGGAAUGUUUGAGCCAACCCUCAGCCAACUCAGCAAGACUCUGUCUCAAAAAAAAUUAAAAGGCCUGGGAUAUAGUUCAGAGUUAGAAGGCUCCUGGGUUUGAUCCCAAGUACUGCAAAAAAAAUUAAAUAAAUAUAAAUUAAAUACAUAUAUAUACAUACACACACACACACACACACACACACACAUAUAUUCCUGCUUAACUAUACAGUACUGCAUACCUGUAAUACCAAAGACUGAAGUAGGAGGAUUGCAAGUUUGAGGUCAGGCUCAGGAACUUAGAGGGGCUGGCCUGGGAAACUUAGCAAGACCCUGGCUCAAAAUAAAAAAUAAAAGGGACUGGGGAUAUAGUUCAGCAAUAGCA